rnacentral:tRNA from 1 species
GGAUGGAUGGCUCAGUGGUCAAAGCGGUGAGCUCCAACUCCAUAGACUGCUGGUUUAAUCCCAGCUCCUGGCA